AGAGUUUGAUCAUGGCUCAGGAUUAACGCUGGCGGUAUGCCUAACACAUGCAAGUCGAACGGAAUACUAAUUAAGAGAGUCUCACACUAGUGAGAGGUUCUCACGAGUAGUAUUUAGUGGCGGACGGGUGAGUAACACGUUGGAACCUGCCCCGAAGUGGGGAAUAACUGCUCGAAAGAGUAGCUAAUACCCCAUAGUAUCCGGUUUAUCCGGAUUAAAGAUUUAUCGCUUCGGGAGGGGCCUGCGUCUGAUUAGCUAGUUGGUGAGGUAAAAGCUCACCAAGGCGACGAUCAGUAGCUGGUUCGAGAGGAUGACCAGCCACACUGGGACUGAGAUACGGCCCAGACUCCUACGGGAGGCAGCAGUGAGGAAUCUUCCACAAUGGGCGCAAGCCUGAUGGAGCAAUACCGCGUGCAGGAAGACGCUUUCGGAGUGUAAACUGCUUUGUCGUCGAAGAUUAUGACUGUAGACGAAGAAUAAGGACCGGCUAACUACGUG
rnacentral:rRNA from 1 species